CCCUGUCGGACCUGGCCAUUUAUGUGUCGCAGGAAGGACUCCACAGCCUCGAUCUUGGGGUGUGAGAAGCAGAAGGAGGGGACCAGGUAGAGCUCAGGAGUCUACAGGGCCCCUCCUGCAACCGCCGCAACCUUGCAAGCAGCUGAAGCCUAGCGGGACCUGGCUGUGCCAACUGCGCCCGCUGCCCCGCUGCCCCUGUGCUCCACCGCACCCUACCUGCACGAAGGUGUGGAACAGUGGGUUCGUGUCUUGCUGCUCCCGCGCAUAAGCCAUGGUCUGCUUUACUCGAAGGCAGUACUGGACGUAAGGUUGGAACCGCUGGCCAAACUGGAGGAACACAUAUAAAGCAGGCAGGAGAGGGCCAUGAAUAAACUCUGACAGGUAGAACAUGGCUGCAGGCUGAGGAGAGAGCCUCAUACAGUCCCUCUGAGAAACCUCUGCCGGCUUCCACCUCCCAAGACAUCUCCCACAGCCAGACCCCUCAUUCUGUGCUCCAGAGAGGAAC